GGGAGACCCCAAUCCCCCCAUAGGAGACCCCAAUCCCCCCAUAGCCAAAGGGAGACCCCAAUCCCCCCAUGGGAGACCCCGAUCCCCCCAUAGGAGACCCCAAUACCCCAUAACCAAAGGGAGACCCCAAUCCCCCCAUGGGAGACCCCAAUCCGAUCCCCCCAUAACCAAAGAGGGACCCCAAUACCCCAUAGCCAAAGGGAGACCCCGAUCCCCCCAUGGGAGACCCCAAUCCCCCCAUGGGAGACCCCAAUACCCCCAUUGGGACUCAAUAAACCAUAUGUGGUUGAGGAGCUCCGUGUGGCGGUGUCGUUCUGCGCUCUGUGCCCCAUCUCACCCUCCUUAUCUCCCUCCUUAUCUCCCUCCUUAUCUCCCUCCUUAUCUCCCUCCUUAUCUCCCUCCUUAUCUCCCUCCUUAUCUCCCUCCUUAUCUCUCUCUCCAUCCCCCGCUCUCCAUCCCUCUCUAUUGCAUCUCUUUCUCUCUCCCCCCAUCUCCAUCUCUCCAACUCCCUCUCUCUAUCUCCAUCCCUAUAUCUCCCCCUAUAUCUCCCUCUAUCCCUAUAUCUCCCUCUAUAUCUCCCUCUAUCCCUCUAUCUCCCCCUAUAUCUCCCUCUAUCCCUAUAUCUCCCUCUAUAUCUCCCUCUAUCCCUCUAUCUCCCCCUAUAUCUCCCUCUCCCCCUAUAUCUCCCUCUAUAUCUCCCUCUCCCCCUAUAUCUCCCCCUCUAUCUCCCUCUAUCCCUCUAUCUCCCCCUAUAUCUCCCUCUAUCCCUCUAUCUCCCCCUAUAUCUCCCUCUAUCCCUAUCUCUCCCCCUAUAUCUCCCUCUAUCCCUAUAUCUCCCCCUAUAUCUCCCUCUCCCUCUAUCUCUCCCCCUAUAUCUCCCUCUAUCUCUCUAUCUCCCUCUCCCCCUAUCUCUCCCCCUAUCUCUCUCUAUAUCCCCCUCUAUAUCUCCCUAUCUCUCCCCCUAUCUCUAUCUCUCCCCCUAUAUCCCCUUCCAUAUCCCCC
ensembl:lncRNA